AAACAGCGGUUGAAGAAUCGAGAAAUAAUAUCAGCAGAGUGUAAAUUGUCCCGACACUGUAUUCGUAAACUUUGAGAAAUUAAUAUGAUUUAAUUAAUUCGUUCGAGCUGAGUCUGCGUGUUGUGCAUAUAAACAGGAGCCAACCAACCCGACAACGUGCACUUCUGGAUAUCUUCUUUGCCCUGAACAAUAAGUAGGACCAGUUCCCCGCACUCUGCACCCAGCGUCUUCCCUGCACCUAGUGGAAGGUCCUAGGCCAACAGCGUUGUUUUUUAACCAACUUUAAUCAAUUGUAAAUUAAUUUAGUCUUAAGAAUGUAUGUAUAAAUAAGUUCAUACAUAAGAAAUGACAAUAUAACCAAGUUCACAGACUAUUAAAUUUGCAAUUUAGUAUCAUUUAAAAUCCAAAGUUAGUACGGUAUUUGUUACCAUGGCAACCGUUCUUAUGUAACGACAUCUUUAUGUAAAUAACAUCGUAACCAUAGUAAUAAACACGGUACGUUUUUAAUACACUGCAUUUGUAUGGUUAUUUCUAAAUUGAACAGUUUUCAGCUUAUCUUAAUAAAAGAGUUUAUAAUUGC